rnacentral:lncRNA from 1 species
UGGAAUAUGGGUAUAAAUGUCCCUCCGAUCUGAGACCGCCAUGGUGACUUGCAAGCAACUCACUGCACUUAGGCACUGGACUACCUGAAUUUCUAAUUCAGUGACGGAAGGCUGCUGGGUGUAGUCAAGUACUUGACUUGUCGGUGCGUGUGUCAAGAUGGGAUUGACCACUCCAGUUCAGGAGCUGUGUACAGUCGUGUUUCAAUUUAGCAAAAUCUUGGCCAGGGUAGUCUUUGUGAGGAGUCACAGGACUGUUUGAGUUGAGCACGAUUCGGAUGAUCUAAUCAGGGUUGACAGUUUAACCCUGAGUCGUCCUAAACACAGAGGUCAAAAGGAUGAAUUAUACAGUAACCAUAUUCAUGUUGGUUCUGAGUGUUGCAAUUGCGACUAUUCAUCCUAUCCGACCGUCGGGUACCAUUACUAGAUGGUCACUUCGAUUAGUACAGGAAUUGGUUUUUGUGCUAUCGGCUUAGGUUCGAACCUGCGAGGUCACACACAUUAG